CUGGUGUGGGGAGCUGGAAAAGGUCCCUUCCUGUUUAGGUGAGUGUGAGACUCUUGAAAUGAUUCAGGUGAAAGGGUGUCGUGAGUCUGUUGUAGAUUCUGUAAAGCAAAUUCAACAAGAACAGAAAGAUAUGGGAAAUGAGGUUCUAAGGAUCGAAAUUGAUAAUUAUGAUGAUAGAUCCAUUUCCUCAGAAGAAGAGUCUACAGAAGCAGAGUCAAGUCCCUCAGAAGCAGAGGAGGUUUCUUCAGAAAGAGAGUCUAUAUCCUCUCAUCACGCAGUUGGCAAUUGUGAGAGUGAAUGUACAGUGGGAUUCCACUCAUCAGAGUAGAUUUCCUCAGCCGGAGAGUCCAUUUCUUCUCAUCAUCACAUUAGGCAAUGGUAAAGACUGAAGCAUUUAUGUCUCUUCUUGACUUUGUGUGAUCAUUCCACUCAUCAGGGGCAAGCACAGUCAUGCAUUCUAUCAAGCCAAUAUUAUCCAUCAUAAUCUGUUUGUAAAACAAGCUGUUUGUAACUCUCUGUUUAAAGCACAGUCAUGGUUUGAUGUUUGAUAGUGUUUACGAUCCAUCACAAUCUGUUUGUAAAAUAUUCUCCAAGUUCUUUCCUGAUUUUGAUGUUUAAUAGUUUUCAUGAUCCCAAUUUUUCAAA